rnacentral:lncRNA from 1 species
AUACCCCCUUGCCCGCAUAUAUGUUGAUACCAAAACUCUUACACUGUUUUUUCCCCAUAAGCCCUCAUUAGGUUUAAUCACAGAAAGGUACUUACCAUAUUAUAUCUUCACAACUUAGAUGGAAUCAAUCUAUUGUACAUAUCAGCUUGCUUUUAUCUCCCUUUUUAGCGAGUCUAAUAGAGCAACUGUACUGCAGAAGGGAAGUGAAAUGUAUUUUCUAUAUAAAUACAUGUGUCUGAAAAGCUAUGCAAAUGCUAAUUAUUUUACAAAAUAGAACUAUGAUAGUUUCCACUUGAACUAAUUAAGCGGUUCACCAUAAUUCACCACAUAAAUUUUUGAUUUUAAUAAGAAUCCUUCCCUUCAAAUGUGAUUUUUGGGAAAAUCACAUUAAAUUUAUUAAUGUGUAAUCAAGUUAUUCAAUCUUAGUUCAGGCUUCUGACACUACUAUAUGAAAGUAGCAUGCAUCUACCUAACCAAAAUUGCUCUAAAGUUCUUCCUUUAAGGUAAUAGCUAUCUUAUUUUAUAAAGAAAUUUGGCGGUUUUAUCAGGGUGAAAGUUUUGUUUUUGAUAGUAUUUGCUUGGAUCCUAGCAAUAGUCUCCUUCCAGCAUUAGCACUCUUUCUUUUAAUAAGGAUUGCCUCCCAACCAACUAGAUUUCACAAAGGCAAGGAUAAGAAAAGUCUGUAUUAUUAUCAUCAGGCACUUACAACAAAUAUUUAUGAAAAUCCUUUUGUGAAUAUUGUAAACCUUGUUAGUCAUUUUAUUUUAAAUAUUGGACAUAACUCCUUGGAAUUGUCAUUUUGUUUUUUUUCUACUAUGGUUUCAAAUAUCUCUUCACUUACUGACCAUAACGUUAUACCUCAAAAUAAGUUGGGCUAAUAAUCAUUUAAACAUAAACUGUUUUCCAACAAUAAACUCUCAUGUAGUUCAUCACCCCUCUCCAAUAUAAAACAAAAUACUAAUUAAUGAAGGUCAGUUCCUAUCUACAAUAGUAUCUUGGUGUCUUAAGGUAACAUUUUAAAAAUUACCCCAAAAUCCCAUAAAAUACAAGCUUUUGACAAAGUUAACUUAGACUUCAUUAUUAUUUGAGACUACUGAAUAAAUUACCACUCAGUAAUUUUAAAGUAAAUUUUUUUGGUGUUUUCUCCAUGUCAUUGUCAGGUUACUGUCCUGAUAACAUGCUUUAAAUUCUCCCUGCAUCAAAUUGUUUCAUUAACAUACAGAUACUUGUCUACCUUAAAACUAGGUUCAUUCAUAGAGAAAAACCUAAAUCUUUUUAAAUCCUGUUUUCAGUAGUUGAUAAACUUAUCAUUUUGACUGUCUACCAUCUGCUCUUUUUCAUCUGCUGGACCCAACACAUAUCCUCUGUUCAUUCUCUGUUGUUAUUCAUUCUAUGCCUGCCAGGAACUAACCUCUACAAAGAACCAGCAAAAGGCUAAUGACUUUAUAUAAAGAUGACAUGAUUAUCUGCCCUUAAAUUCCUUAAGAGUCUACUGAGAGAAAAAAAAAUAUCUUUGUAAUACAAUAUGAUAAAUGUCAUAAACAAAAUAUAUGUGAAGUGCUUUGGUAAAUGCUGUUGAGUUAGAAUUUAAUAAGUAUAAACAUUUUAGACCUUUUUCCCAAAAAACUUAUCCCUUGAAACAAAACAGAUUUUUCUUAUGACUUACCAAAUGAGAUAGAAAGACAUCAGUAUGGACUUGAAUUAAAUAGUGUUUUCAUGAAUUGUAAAUUUUUCCCCUUGAAAAUGAACACUGAACAAAUUAGUUGUUAAUGGUAUCUUUGUUAACAGGAAAACGUAACUGAAUAAAAUACUGUGUCAAACCCAAGUACCCAGAUUUAUUUGACAUUUGAUGUUUUUAUAAAAUAACGAUCUACUAACAGAUUUUUACAAAUAAUUCAGCUCAGAGUCUUAAAGUUAACAAAGCCCUAUGGUAUGCAUUAGCUCUCUUGUCCUUUACAAAUAUUCUGUGGUGGGUGGCAUUAUCUCCAAUAUACAGAUGAAGAAAUCCUUGUUAAUGUUAUUUAUUUACUUAGACGUUUAAUGUGUGCUUAUUGGCACAAGGAAUAGAAAUGCCAGCAGUCCAGGAAGUUAAAUCCUAAAUUGAACAAUGGUGUUCAGCCUUCAAAUCCUCUGCUCUGCCCUCCACGUUUUAGCCCCCUAUCCAAAAUAUCAAUCAUGCUAUUAAAGUAGGAUGUCCUGUGUCUCAAAAAACUAAAAUAAAAAAUUUUUACAUGUGUAUAUACUUAAGAUAGUCUGUGAAGUCAGUAUAGAACUUUUCUAGGUAAACUUUAUAAUGUUUGUAUUUUAUCUCAUUUCUCAAUAUUAGAAUACGGGUACAUUUUAAUUUUGGUAUAAUUGAGAAAAUAGCUCAUCUUUAUGCCAGAAUGUAGUUUUAUUUAGGUAUUUAGACAGUUGGAAAAUUUCUAAAAUUGAUGAUUUUAUAAUGUAUGUUAAACAAUUACAUAUUGUAUUCUGAGUAUGUUGAUAUUAAACAUUUUUUUACAAGGAAAUUACUGUCAUUCCUAUUAUUUUACAAAAAUGUACAUGAAUAUCUCUGGGGAAAUCUUUCCCCUAAAUGGACCCCCUAAAAUACUUCUGUAGAAGUCCUUGCCCCUAGAUUGAAGCAAAUUGUAAACAAAAUAAAGAUAUGUAAA